AACGAACGCUGGCGGCAGGCUUAACACAUGCAAGUCGAGCGCCCCGCAAGGGGAGCGGCAGACGGGUGAGUAACGCGUGGGAAUCUACCCAUCUCCACGGAAUAACGCGUGGAAAUGUGUGCUAAUACCGUAUACGUCCUUCGGGAGAAAGAUUUAUAGGAGAUGGAUGAGCCCGCGUUGGAUUAGCUAGUUGGUGGGGUAAAGGCCUACCAAGGCGACGAUCCAUAGCUGGUCUGAGAGGAUGAUCAGCCACACUGGGACUGAGACACGGCCCAGACUCCUACGGGAGGCAGCAGUGGGGAAUAUUGGACAAUGGGCGCAAGCCUGAUCCAGCCAUGCCGCGUGAGUGAUGAAGGCCCUAGGGUUGUAAAGCUCUUUCACCGGUAAAGAUAAUGACGGUAACCGGAGAAGAAGCCCCGGCUAACUUCGUGCCAGCCGCCGCGGUAAAAC
rnacentral:rRNA from 1 species